rnacentral:rRNA from 1 species
UACGUAGGCAGCGAGCGUUGUUCGGAGUUACUGGGCGUAAAGGGUGUGUAGGCGGCUGUUUAAGUUUGGUGUGAAAUCUCCCGGCUCAACUGGGAGGGUGCGCCGAAUACUGAAUGACUAGAGUGCGGGAGAGGAAAGUGGAAUUCCCGGUGUAGUGGUGAAAUGCGUAGAUAUCGGGAGGAACACCAGUGGCGAAGGCGACUUCCUGGCCUGUUCUUGACGCUGAGGCGCGAAAGCUAGGGGAGCAAACGGG